rnacentral:lncRNA from 1 species
CGUGGAGGCGGAUUCUUCUUACUCAGGGAUGUAGGCUUGAACCGUGGUAAAUAUCAAGGACUCCCUGGGAAGAAAGGACUUAUGGAGUAGAGAAGACUGAGGAAACUUACACUACUCUUCAUUGAAGUCUUUCUGGAAUCCACAGCAAUGGUGACUGAAAGAGGAAAUCAGGAGAUUUUAUUAAUAGGUGCUGAAGAAAUAUUAUUGGAAAGAUGGAGGCAAAGCUUUCCUUGGUUUUUGCUUCUGACUUGAAGAGUCACUAGAAGCCUCAGGCCCUUCAGAAAUCUUGAGUGGGAAGAGGCGUUAUGGCAGGGAGGACCUUGUGAACCCGUGGAAAUCAAGAAGCCAUUGAUUUUCUGUGCAGAAUUCUGCAUUGACUAAAACCCUAAGGCCUAUCUCCCAGAGCUUCGACAGCUGUUUAGUCAGAUAAUUGUGUCCGAAUUGAUUAUGAAAAUAAUAGACCAGCCAUAAAG